UACCACAUCCUCACCCUCAGUGAAAGCUCAGUAGGUGGAGACAGCACAGCACCAGAGCCUCUCCUCAGCAGCAUAAUCCGUCACACACCUCAGGCACUCCCACUGGCCCACUGGUCUCUUCAUCUGACAUCAUUGCUGCAAGAAAACAAGAUUUAAGAACCAUUAUCUGAAGGAUAAAAAGGAAGAAAGAAAAAAAAAAAAAGUAGCAACUGCAGCACUUCUACAAGGUUUCCCAGUUCCACAAAAGAGAACAAUGCAGGUGUAGAAGAGAAGAAUCUGCCAGGACUACCAGCACAGCUCUGGAGGAUGAAGAUUUUCAUGUGGCUUGCAAGUUUCUUACUGGGACGGACACCACUGUCUUUAAGAGAAGGGUUGCAAAGGUUCUAUUUGGGCGGUUUACUGAAGGAAGCUGAAAGUCUUACACAACUCUGGCUCCAUUAACUGGGAUUUUCAGAUGUUUAUUUAUAACCAAUUAUAAAACCGACUCCGGCCAACAACUGAGUAGCGGGUGGCCG
rnacentral:lncRNA from 1 species